UCAAAAUCGUUGAAAGGGAGAGUAUCCUGAAACUACCGUGUAAGAGAUGGAAUGCCUAGGCUGUAAGCUUUCCUCACGGACGCACAGGAGAAAACCACCCUUGAGUGUGGGGCUGAACUUUAGUAAGCUCUGCCGUACCCCGCGUUAAGGGAAAUCGAGUGAGAGGUGCGAUAUCAAACCUUUCAAUUGGGUGGAACCACGGGAGUAGAACUCUCGUCCCUGUC
rnacentral:ncRNA from 1 species